AGGCAUCUCUACUAGAAAAUGGUUAAUGCCCCCCUCCCUUUGUACUCUCUGUGUAUGCAGCACCCAAUCUUUGGUGCCCCUCUGGGUUUCUGUCCUGUCGCCUCACUCCUGGUGAGCUUUAGGAACCAGGUCACACAUUUACAUAUUUGUCUUUGCACAAUGUCACAUGGAAAAACUCUGACAAAAUAAGUUAAACAAGUUUAACAUUGAUAAACAAUGCAACUUUUGUUUUAAUCUCUCUUUCUGACUUGGUUUCUCACAUCAUCCAUCGGGAAGUAAAAUAAGCAAGAAGUGGGGAGGAUGAGGACGGAGGAGGAAGGAACAGCUAAAGCAGACAUUUUUGUUUGGUGUUUCAUCAGAGACUCUCUCAGGAAUGGGGCCACCUCACAGAGUCACACACACAACCCUUCUUUCAGAGGUUGGAAUGCAGAAAACCCAGCAGCACCAGCUCUCUCUUCAGACAAGGAAGAAGAUAGAGACAAACAGGGAGAACAACAUGUAAUGGCAGAGGCAGAGAUUGCAUCGAUGCAGCCGCAAGCUAAUAAAUGCCGAAGACUGACAGCCACCACCAGGAGCAAGGAAGAGGAGAUUUGUACACCAAGAUUCUUCUGUGCUGUAGUCAAAAGUGAUGUGCCCUUGAAUGGACUCUGAAUGUCCUUCAACACAAUAGACAUGGCCAAGGAAAAUAAACCUGAAGAAAAGAAAUCCUGGAAAGACUGGA